rnacentral:rRNA from 1 species
AACGUAGGAGGCAAGCGUUAUCCGGAUUUACUGGGCGUAAAGCGCGUGUAGGCGGCCCGGUCAGUCGGACGUGAAAUCUCCUGGCUCAACUAGGAGGGGCCGUUCGACACUACCGGGCUUGAGGGCAAGAGAGGGAGGUGGAAUUCCGGGUGUAGCGGUGAAAUGCGUAGAUAUCCGGAGGAACACCUGUGGCGAAAGCGGCCUCCUGGCUUGCCCCUGACGCUCAGACGCGAAAGCUAGGGGAGCGAACGGG